rnacentral:rRNA from 1 species
AACGAACGCUGGCGGCAUGCCUAACACAUGCAAGUCGAACGAGGUCUUCGGGUCUAGUGGCGCACGGGUGCGUAACGCGUGGGAAUCUGCCCUUUGGUUCGGAAUAACAGUUGGAAACGACUGCUAAUACCGGAUGAUGACGAAAGUCCAAAGAUUUAUCGCCAGAGGAUGAGCCCGCGUAGUAUUAGCUAGUUGGUGUGGUAAAGGCGCACCAAGGCGACGAUCCUUAGCUGGUCUGAGAGGAUGAUCAGCCACACUGGGACUGAGAGACGGGCCAGACUCCUACGGGAGGCGGCAGUGGGGAAUAUUGGACAAUGGGCGAAAGCCUGAUCCAGCAAUGCCGCGUGAGUGAUGAAGGACUUAGGGUUGUAAAGCUCUUUUACCCGGGAUGAUAAUGACAGUACCGGGAGAAUAAGCUCCGGCUAACUCCGUGCCAGCCGCCGCGGUAA